rnacentral:lncRNA from 1 species
GGAGAGGCGGGACUUCCGGUCGGCGCCGCCUGCGAAGUGCUCCGCGGCCGGCGGAGACGCGGGCAGCCAGCGAUGGCCGCGGAGGGGGCGAACUGGGUUCCGGCCCUCGGAGGCUGACGGAAGGCGGUGGCUGAGGAGCGGCGCCUCUGGUUGAGCGCUCGCCGUGUGUCCCGCACCUGUCUGUCCUGCCGCCGCCCGGUAAGCACAGCACAGCACCGCACAUCUCCAGUCGGACUGGCUACAUUUCAAGGGCUCAACCAUCACGCGUUACCAGUGGCUACUGCAUCAGACUGUGCAGUGCUAGAUGGGGAGUCAGAAGAGAAACCAAGUGAUUUCCAUGUCAAGUGGUGAACAGGCUAAGAAGAAAAGUCCACUUACAGCUGGAUUUACUUCCACCUCUGCCACCUGUGAGACAGCGAGACCAACCCCUCCUCCUCCUCUUCCUAGCCUACUCCGAGUGAAGAUGAUGAAGAUGAAGACCGUUAUGAUCCACUUCCACUUAAUGAAAGAUGAAUAUAUUUUCUCUUCCUAAUGAUUUUUUUUUUUUUUUUUUUGGAGACAGAGUCUCGCUGCAUCCCCCAGGCUGGAGUACAGUGGUAUGAUCUUGGCUCACUGCAACCUCUGCCUCCUAGGUUCAAGUGAUUCUCCUGCCUCAGUCUCCCGAGUAGCUGGGAUUACAGGCGCCCACCACCAUGCCCGGCUAAUUUUUGUAUUUUUAGUAGAGAUGGGGUUUCACUAUGUUGGCCAGGCUGGUCUCAAACUCCUGACCUCAGGUGAUCUGCCUGACUUGGCCUCCCAAAGUGCUGGGAUUACAGGCAUGAGCCACCUUGCCUGGCCUCUUCCUAAUGAUUUUUUAAAGUACAUCUUGUUUUCUCUGUCUUACUUUAUCAUAAAAAUAUAUGAUACAAAUAAAAUACAGAAUAUGUGUUAAUGGACUGUGUAUGUUAUGAGUAAGCCUUCCAGUCGACAGUGGGCUAUUAUUGGUGGUUAAGUUUUGGGGGAGUGUGUGUUCAAGGGUCAACCGCACUUCCUGAGGGCACUGUGAGAACUAAGUUAAAUAACCCACUUUUACAAUCUUUGGAACCGGGGGCAGGUGGCUGGGGCUCACACCUGUAAUUACAGCACUUUGGGAGGCUGAGGCAGGAAGAUCCCUUGAGGCCAAGAGUUUGAGACCAGCCUGGGCAACAAAGCAAGACUCUGUCUCUACAAAAAUUUU